UCCUGGCUUCUGAAUCUGCAGCUAGCAGCUCCUUGCAAGUUGCUAAGCUGGUGCGCUGUGCUGCUGUGCUGAACAAGGGGUGUGUGUGUGGGUGUGUAGCAAGAUGAGGUGCGCAGGUGUUUUCCUGGCACUUCUGCUCUCCCUGUCCGCACUAUCUGCCUCCACUGCUGAAACACACAAGGAACGAUUGGGCGACGCUGCAGCAUUGUUAACCACGGGCCGGAAAUGGUUGAGUGGACGCAGGACAUUGGCAGAUGCCCGGAAGGAUGAGGUGAUGGAACAAGGGAGGAGGGGAGCCAAGAGCACAGGUGCAAACACUGCCCAUGUCCAUGGAGCGGACAAAACUGUAGAGGUUACCGUUGUCGGGUUGGGUGGUGAGAGUGCUGCGCGCAGGAGCGUCGGCAAGAGCGGCAAAUCUGCCGGCCUCGUGCCCUUCUGUGCCGAUUACCGCACGCCGAGAACUCACCCGCCAAGGAAUAACUGAAAAGUAAAGCAGGCAAAUACUUCCUUCCUGGUUGGUUCUAGCCUCUGAUAAAAGAUAGUACAGUAUCUUCCAACUAAUCCACUAAUCUCCUACUGGUAUUGCUCUCAUGCUGCAUUGCGUAGUGAAGUGUAAUUGUUGCCUUUCUGAAUGUAGAUCACCGGUACGUAGGAAUAGAUGUAUAGCAUGAACACUGAGAUUUGGAUGAUGUGCUGAAACAUUUUGAUCUCGUUGUUGCAGCAGGAACAAAUCAGGAAGCGGAUGCACCUGCUGAAGCUGUACAUGACUCGGGUAAAAGGAGUAAGAAGGGCUCGGCAACCCAUGCCACGUUCCAAGCAUCGUCAAGGCAUGGCGGUGGCGGCUCGGAUGCUUCAGAACCUGAGAUCCUCGGCAUGGACUACAACCUGAACCUGAAUCCUCGUCGCCAUCGCCCGAUCAACAACGACGCUCCGCUGGGUCUGGGUGAGCUCGCCGCCAAGACACCUUAGGACUUCCGACUUUGCCUUGGGUAGCUCCGGCCUCCGGAGGCAUGAAGAAGCUGAAUCUUGAGCUGCUUCAUACUAGAUAGGAGUACAUCUGACCACAGUAGCCAUUAGCAGAUGGUGGUUAGCUUAGCUAGCUAGGAACUCGCUCUCCACGCCACACGUAGCCCAUGCUUGGCACUCAUGGAAUGGAACAAUCUGUCACUGUACUGGGCGAUUUUGGUUGUAAUGUGCUUGCAUGGAGAGCAUUUGUAACUAGUCAUCAGCAGACAGCAGCGUUUCUGAAG